rnacentral:tRNA from 8 species
GCGGGCGUAGCUCACCUGGUAGAGCGCAACCUUCCCAAGGUUGAGGUAGCCGGUUCGAGGCCGGUCGCCCGCUCCA